ACCUCGCUGCCCUCCCCGGACCGGCUCUUGCGCGCUGCAGCGGCACACAGCCGCACCAUACGAAGAGGUCGCCGCCCUGGACCCAGCCCGCCUCUGCCCCGUUGAAGCUCUAUGCCAAGCUCGCCGUCCAGCUCUCCGUCAAUGUUGCUUUCGUGGAUACCGCCCAGCGACGAGGGCGACGCCGACGUCGACCCAGCCGGUUGGCGACAGUAGCUCGGGAUUUCUACAGCCGGUGCGGCUGGCGUACUGAUAGGCGGCUCACAUGAAGAUCUUGUGAAACAUCCUAUGACGUUGCUUAAUAAGGAGGAGUCACGGCCUAAGGGGGUGAGGUAGGCAGUGUUGCAGCAUGGGAAAUCCAAGGGGGUCAACCGACGUUGUGGACUUCCUCGAGUUGAGAUCCAGCCCCAAGUUA